rnacentral:rRNA from 1 species
GAUGAACGCUGGCGGCGUGCCUAAUACAUGCAAGUCGAGCGAACGGACGAGAAGCUUGCUUCUCUGAUGUUAGCGGCGGACGGGGGAGUAACACGUGGAUAACCUACCUAUAAGACUGGGAUAACUUCGGGAAACCGUAGCUAAUACCGGAUAAUAUUUUGAACCGCAUGGUUCAAAAGUGAAAGACGGUCUUGCUGUCACUUAUAGAUGGAUCCGCGCUGCAUUAGCUAGUUGGUAAGGUAACGGCUUACCAAGGCAACGAUGCAUAGCCGACCUGAGAGGGUGAUCGGCCACACCGGAACUGAGACACGGUCCAGACUCCUACGGGAGGCAGCAGUAGGGAAUCUUCCGCAAUGGGCGAAAGCCUGACGGAGCAACGCCGCGUGAGUGAUGAAGGUCUUCGGAUCGUAAAACUCUGUUAUUAGGGAAGAACAUAUGUGUAAGUAACUGUGCACAUCUUGACGGUACCUAAUCAGAAAGCCACGGCUAACUACGUG